rnacentral:rRNA from 1 species
AGUGAACGCUGGCGGUAGGCCUAACACAUGCAAGUCGAACGGCAGCACAGUAAGAGCUUGCUCUUACUGGUGGCGAGUGGCGGACGGGUGAGGAAUACAUCGGAAUCUACUUUUUCGUGGGGGAUAACGUAGGGAAACUUACGCUAAUACCGCAUACGACCUACGGGUGAAAGCAGGGGAUCUUCGGACCUUGCGCGAUUGAAUGAGCCGAUGUCGGAUUAGCUAGUUGGCGGGGUAAAGGCCCACCAAGGCGACGAUCCGUAGCUGGUCUGAGAGGAUGAUCAGCCACACUGGAACUGAGACACGGUCCAGACUCCUACGGGAGGCAGCAGUGGGGAAUAUUGGACAAUGGGCGCAAGCCUGAUCCAGCCAUACCGCGUGGGUGAAGAAGGCCUUCGGGUUGUAAAGCCCUUUUGUUGGGAAAGAAAAGCAGCAGGUUAAUACCCCGCUGUUCUGACGGUACCCAAAGAAUAAGCACCGGCUAACUACGUG